CGGAGAAAAAAGUGAGGGAUCCUUACCCAAAUAAGUGUUUCGGGAUGCUCCGCUGUCUACUACGCUUCCUAACGAGUACCAAAUUUCUUGAAUUAUCCCUACAAAAUUCAAAACACUUGUCACGUAGUUAAAAAUACCCUAGAAAUCCAAAAUUGGUGUCCAAAACUCAUUAAGGCCAAUUUUGGAGUUUCGACACGGCAGCGCUGCCAUGCUCCAGCGCUGGUUCCGUCGCCCACAGUGGCGAUUCGUCUCGACCUAACCAGUUUUGGCCUAUUUUUGGCUAGUUUUGGCCGUAUCCCUGUAAAAAAACACGUUAGGGGCCUUGGUUUGCUGGAAAAAAAACAUAAAAUCGAACUUACUAGCAGGCGGACAUCUGGGUGCAGCGGCUUUGCCAGUUCUCUUUUACGGCUGAGGUUCUUUUUUAGCCAACCUGUAUAGAAAAAGACAGUGAAUACAAUGAUAAAAAAAUCACGUAAAAUAGAAUCGGGAAGGGGCUCAUUGGAAGGGGUUUUGGGACUUUGGCUGCGGUAGCUAUGCCUGCGGUUUC
rnacentral:lncRNA from 1 species